GAUGAACGCUGGCGGCGUGCUUAACACAUGCAAGUUGAACGAAGUGGCGGAUGGGCGAGUAACACGUGAGGAACCUGCCUUUUACAGGGGAAUAACACUGGGAAACCAGUGCUAAUACCGCAUAGUGAAAGAUGGUCUCGCGCCUGAUUAGCUAGUAGGGGGGGUAACGGCUCGCCUAGGUGAUGAGCAGUGGCCGGACUGAAGGAUGAUCGGCCCAAUUGGGACUGAGACACGGCCCAGGCGCCUACGGGAGGCAGGAGUGGGGAAUAUUGGGCAAUGGCGCAAGCCUGAACCAGCAACGCCGGGUGAAGGAAGACGGUCUUCGGAUUGUAAACUUCUUUAGACAGGGACGCGGUACCUGUAGAAUAAGCCACGGCUAACUACGUGCCAGCAGCCGCGGUAAUAC
rnacentral:rRNA from 1 species